GACGAACGCUGGCGGCGUGCUUAACACAUGCAAGUCGAGCGGACAGACGCGGAGCUUGUUGGUCUGACGUUAGGGGCGGAGGGGUGAGUAACACGUGGAUAAUCUCCUUAUACGUCUGGGAUAAUUACGGGAAACCGGCGCUAAUACCAGAUAAUAUACUGAACCGCAUGGUUCAAUAGUGAGAGACGGUUUUUCUGUCAGUUAUAGAUGGAUCCGCGCCGCAUUAGCUAGUUGGUAGGGUAACGGCCUACCAAGGCAACGAUGCGUAGCCGACCUGUGAGGGGGGUCGGCCACACUAGAGGGGAGACGCGGUCCAGACUCCUACGGGAGGCAGCAGUAGGGAAUCUUCCGCAACAGGGGGAAGCCUGACGGAGCAGCGCCGCGUGAGUGGUGAAGGUCUUCGGAGCGUAAAGAUCUUCUUUGGGGGGAGAACAAAUGUGGAAUGAACUGUGCACGGCUUGACGGUACCUAGUCAAGAAGCCACGGCUAACUACGUG
rnacentral:rRNA from 1 species